GGUUGUAGCUCAGUGGUAGAGUGCUUGCCUCGCAUGUGUAAGGCACUGGAUUCAAUUCUCAGCACCA
rnacentral:tRNA from 1 species